AUGGCGUCUGUUUCUGAAAAGGGGUCAGGAGACACUACUACAGUUGAAUACCAGCAUUAUGAUAGAAGCUUCAGCACCUUCUACGACAGUGGCGAGACCCGGUACUGGCACGACUACAUCAAGUUCCGCGGCUACCCGGCCUCCAACCAGAACGCGCGCCAUUGGCCGUCCAAGCUGGUGAACUUCACGCCAAGCCUCGUCGAGUACUCUGCGGCGGUGCACGAGCUGGCCCAGACCAUCCUCUGUCUGAUCGCCGAGGGGCUGGGCCUCGACGGCACCUUCUUCAGCGGCAACCUCAGCCGCGGCGACACGCACAUGAGCAUCAACUACUACCCGCCCUGCCCGGACCCAACCCUCACGAUGGGCCUGCUCGCGCACUGCGACCGCCACCUCCUCACCGUGCUUUCCCAGGCUGACGUCGCUGGGCUCCAGGCAAGGCACGGUGACAGGUGGCUCCUCGUCCACCCCGUCCCUGGCGCAUUCGUCAUCAACUUUGGCCACCAGAUGGAGAUCGUCACCAACGGGGUGCUGGCCAGCGUGGACCACCGCGCCGUCACCAACUCCGCCGUGGCGAGGAUGUCGGUGGCCACACACGUGCACCCCACGGACGGGUGCCGCAUCAGACCGGCGUCAGAGAUGGUGGACGAGGCGAUGAAUCCAGCCAAGUACAGGGAACUUGCUUUCAGCGAAUUCAUGGAAGCAUAUGACGCGGCCGACGCUAGCAGGGAGGAAGUGCUCCAGUCCUUCAAGAUCAACCAUGACUAG
rnacentral:rRNA from 1 species